GUUUUUUAUAUUUUUUGCUAAUAGCACUAUUAGUUUUUUUUCUUCAAAGUAAAAUAUUUAGGAAAUAAGUAGGAAACAUUUUAGAGUCAUUUGGAUCACUAAAUUCACUUUCUCGGAAUAGAAUUGUACUGUGUUUCGGGAUGUAUGCUCGAAUUCGUAAAUUGCAAGAGCAAGCGCAUAUUAUGGCAACACCAGUCUAGAGCCUGGACAAUGGUAGAGCUACACUGGGAGCUACACUGGGACCAGAAGAGGCACGUCCCCUUCUCAUGUUUUGAAAACCCACGAUUUUUAGAUAUGUUUCAAUUUGCGCCUCUAAUAUUUCAUGUAUUGGCUGUUUAAAUCUUCUACCUCUCUUUUUUCUUUCACUUUUAGCAAAAUCUCUGCAAUUUGAUCAUUUCAAGUUUUAUUUGCAAAAAGGUCCCUCUUUUGGAUGUUCUUUAGACAGAAUUCAAGGUACUUGAGUUUUUAGUUAUACUGAUUUGAUAAGGAAAAAAAUUGUGCAAAUGAUUGAAACAAUGAUACAAAUACAAUAACCCCAUAGAGGUUGGCCAUGUAGUCUAGAC
rnacentral:lncRNA from 1 species